rnacentral:rRNA from 1 species
UACAGAGGUCUCAAGCGUUGUUCGGAUUCAUUGGGCGUAAAGGGUGCGUAGGUGGCGUGGUAAGUCGGAUGUGAAAUCCCGGGGCUCAACCCCGGAACUGCAUUCGAUACUGCCAUGCUAGAGUACUGGAGAGGAGAUUGGAAUUUACGGUGUAGCAGUGAAAUGCGUAGAUAUCGUAAGGAAGACCAGUGGCGAAGGCGGAUCUCUGGACAGUUACUGACACUGAGGCACGAAGGCCAAGGGGAGCAAACGGG